AGAGGAUCUACACUAGGACAUAAUGCUGGGGGUCGGGGGGUGGGAGUGGGUGUUUCUGUAUGAGGUUUCUGUCACUGUUUAUGGUCCAAAAAACUUGCAGGAUUAGGGUCAUUGUCACUCCUAGGGUACACUCACACUCGGGCCGUUUUACUGCGCCCAAGUGCGAUUGCCCCCUAAAGUUCUAGGGCUAGUGUGAGGCAUGAAGAAGUUGCCCCCGCUACGGCGCGGUUGGAAGCGGUGGGCCAAACACGGGGAACAAGGAUCCAAACUUGCACACUUGUGCUGUUGAGUAAAUCUCCAGCUUCCGCCGCAAAAAUCUGUGAAUCGCGCGGUCAGUAAACCUAUACACUGUCGAGGGCUGAUCGUUCACAACGCAGACGUUGUCAGAUUCGCUUACGAUCGCGCACAGACAACUGUCACUGACAAAUGUGUGGAAGGGCAACUGGGCUUUACCUCGCUUACCUUUGGGGUAAUGUGAGUGCGAGAGUGAGAAACUGGCCCUAGUCUGAGUGCGAAGGUAAGUGUGAAUGUGAUUGGCUGUGAUUGGCUACAGCUCCUCCUACCACCCUGACAAGUAUUACACAGUAGUAGGUGAAAGUAUAUGUGAAGAUACUUUGAUUUCUCGUUAGGUGAACAUACUGUAUUUAUACACAGGAAGUACAACAUGAGAUUAUUCCUCCAAUGCACUCUGGGAAUGUCUUUGUAACUCUGCUGUCAAAUAACUCUCUUCAGUUCAUUUCAAGUGUUUUGUGAAUCUGAACAAAAUGAUUUUAUUCUUCUAUUCACUGACGGUUGGACUGACUCUCCGUCUGGCUGCGACAGGAACUGCAAUUCCUCCUCCCUCCCUGUAACUCAUCUCUCUCCUGGCUCCUGGAUUCCAGGUUGUAAUCCUGACCGAACGACACGUCGGAGAUUGCAGUCUCGUUCAGGCGCCUGAUGAUUGACAGGAGGACACGGACACUCAGAGAUGGUCAAUGAGCCGCGGUCAGAGGCUCCAGCUGAUGCUGUUGUCUCCUGCUUCAUCCAUCACCACGGAAACAGAAAUGUAGACGUGGCUGCAAUAUUGAGAACAGACGGCGCUAAUGUUGCUGGUCUUUUGUGACUCAUUAAACACAAAGAACAGGAGGAUUAUUUCUGCACGUCGAUAGAUGAAAUGGAACGAAGAGAAUGUAGAUGAACUGUGUCGAAGGAUCUGGGAAGAGUGAAGGACGAGCGAGGAUUCCAAAUCCCUGCAGGACGUCUAAGGAAUGGUCACGCUCCUCUGUGGAUAUGGAAACGGAAUAAAUGAUUCCUGAGGAAAAACUCAUUUAUUAAUGAUCUAGAGGAAGUCGUCCAGUGUGUUUUUACUUUUUCUGCAGGUUAAAAUGAAGCAAAUUUAGAAAAG